rnacentral:rRNA from 1 species
AACGAACGCUGGCGGCAGGCCUAACACAUGCAAGUCGAACGCAUCGCAAGAUGAGUGGCGCACGGGUGAGUAACACGUGGGAAUGUAUCCUUUGGUUCGGAAUAACGCAUGGAAACGUGUGCUAAUACCGUAUACGUCCUUCGGGAGAAAGAUUUAUCGGAGAUGGAUGAGCCCGCGUUGGAUUAGCUAGUUGGUGGGGUAAAGGCCUACCAAGGCGACGAUCCAUAGCUGGUCUGAGAGGAUGAUCAGCCACACUGGGACUGAGACACGGCCCAGACUCCUACGGGAGGCAGCAGUGGGGAAUAUUGGACAAUGGGCGCAAGCCUGAUCCAGCCAUGCCGCGUGAGUGAUGAAGGCCCUAGGGUUGUAAAGCUCUUUCACCGGUGAAGAUAAUGACGGUAACCGGAGAAGAAGCCCCGGCUAACUUCGUGCCAGCCGCCGCGGUAAGAC